rnacentral:lncRNA from 1 species
CGGGGCUGCCUGUCUCCCCACGGGGUCCGGGAGCUCCAGGUGGGCCCAUCUCGCCCUUCUCGCCCGGCAUCCCCAUCGCCCCAUCCCGGCCAUCACGUCCAUCUCUGCCUGGCAGACCCUGGCCCCCGUGCAAGCCUGGGGUGCCUGGGAUGCCCGGCUGUCCUGAGCACUGCCUGGGGAUCUUGUUGUCUUCAAUCUGCACAGAGCUGCUGAUAAGCCCGAGGAGGAAGAGGAGGAAGAGCUGCUUCAUCUCGUCUGCCAUGCAGGGGCGCGGUCCCUCAGCUCCUGUCCCCACGGCCCGCUGCGCUCCGCUGGGAUGGCUGCGGCUCUUCCUGACCGCUUCACUCUGA